rnacentral:misc_RNA from 1 species
GUAUUUUGAAUUAAGUAUUCAUAAUAUUUUUCAGACAAAUUAGUUAAAGAAUGAGUUGAUGUAUAAAAAUCUCGCCAAGAUUGACGAGAUCUAACAUUGCACACAAGGUGGAUAUGGAUUUUUAAAAAGUGCCAUAAAACACUUUAUUAUGAAUGAUCCUUUCGCAGGUUCACCUACGGAAA